UGGACAACUUGAGCCGGCAAUUGGACUGGACGGCGCUUGAGGGAGGGAAAAGUUGAGUCCGCAGCCUUCUUGAGAGUCCUUUAGCCUCCGCAUUCGGCUCCUAUCGGGAGAAUGGUGACGAUGAAUGAAAUGACCAGGACAUACAGGAAUAAAACAAAUGGUACAAGAUAAUGAUCUGCUGUGGUGCAAGUGGAUGAUCAAUCAGGUAGUAACCACAUGAAAGAUGGAGGAGUACAAGGUGCUGGAGGCAAUAGGACAAGGUUCAUUUGGAAGAGUGUUCCGAGGAAAAUGCCUCCUUAGGGGGCAAAUUGUAGCUCUCAAGUUUAUUCCAAAAAGAAAUAAAGUAGAAAGAGAAUUAAAAAGUCUCCGGCAAGAGUGUGAAAUUCAAAGAGGUCUGGCACAUCCAAAUAUUGUUCGUACAAUUGACUCGUUUGAGACAGAAAAUGAAGUUGUGGCUGUUAGUGAGUAUGUGCCUGGCCAACUUUUUCAACUUUUAGAGUCUAAUGGUCCAUUAAGAGAGGAAAGAGUUCAACAGAUUGCUUGCAACUUAGUUUCAGCAAUUUAUUAUUUGCAUUCUCAUAGAAUUCUCCAUAGAGACAUAAGCCCCAAAACAUUUUGCUCUCAUCAACUAGUGAAGCAAAACUGUGACUUUGGAUCCUCCAGAAAAAUGUGCAUCAAUACCUAUGUAUUGACAUCUGUUAAAGGCACUCCAUUGUAUAUGGCACUUGAAUUAAUUGAGGAGAAACCUUAUGAUCACAAUGCAGAUUUGUGGUCCCUUGGGUGCAUCCUUUAUGAACCACUUCUUGGAAAGCCACCCUUUUGUACCACUUGUAUAGUUCAGUUAAUCAAAAUGGUGAGAAGUGAACCAGUCAUAUGGCCGGGAGGAUGGAGCAAGGAUUGUUCCACUUUUUUACAUGGACUCCUUGAGAAAGAUCCAAGCAAAAGGCUCACAUG